GCUCAGUUAGUUCAGUAGUUAGAACACUUGAUAAUUUUUUUUUUUAUCUUAGAAACGCAGGUUCGAUUUCUAUACUGGGCC
rnacentral:tRNA from 3 species